GGGGAUGUAAAGGUUUCGACAGGGAGAAGAAAGCAGGAGCAGCGGGUAGUGGUGCGGCCCCACUUUAACUGCCGCAAAACAAUAGUUAACAACACUGUUAAUUUCCGCAGCAACCCUGUUGCUGUUGCCGCCUAACUAAGGCCGGCCGUCCGGCCUGCUCUACCGUGGGGCAGGGCCCGGGCGUCAUUUAAACGGUAAACGUGAACGGCCUUAAGCUUUGCGGGCCGUCAUGAACGAAUGAAGCUACCGACGCGGCGGCCUGAUCAUCGGCCUGCCGCCGGGGGAACCUUGUAGAUGAUCUGCACCCGGAGAUACUCCUGCGGCCGGCUUUCUGGACACGGGUUCGAUUCCCGUCAUCUCCACCA
rnacentral:tmRNA from 1 species